ACUAAUAAUGUUUUCUUAUCUACUAUUUUUAGAUAAUCGUGAGUUAUCUCCUAACUCCUCUUCUAGAUACUCUGACUUGUCAACAACAUUAUAAAUUACUAUUGUAUAAAUUAAUUUUUAUCAACAACUUUAUAAAUUACUUUUAUAUAAAUAAUUUAAAACUUUUAAUUAAACUUGAUCAAUAAAUCUUACUAAUUUUUUUAAAUUUUACCUUAAUUUAUAAUUUCAACAGUAAUUUAUAAAAUUUAAAAAAUACUUUCUUACUUAUCAUUGACCCUAUUGGUCGUUUACUAAAUUGAUCAUCUUUAAAAAUUUUUGUUAGAUAUUUCAAAUAAUGCCAUGUCAUGAAUGUCCAAGUGUCAUUUUAUAUUUCGUCGAUUUUGAAGUUGAACUAAAUUAUAAAAUUUUUAUUUGAAUAAUUUUGUUAUAUCGAGACAUUACAUGACCAUUUUAAUAAGUACAAAUCUCAUUUUAAUGACCACCUAUUUGAAAUAUCCUCAAUAAGUUCACCCUGACGAUGUUCAUAAUCAUGAACGAAAGCUCGGAAUAAAGACUUAAAAGAGUACACUUAUCAAUUGCUGCAUAACCCAAUAACCAAAAA
rnacentral:lncRNA from 1 species